rnacentral:rRNA from 1 species
GACGAACGCUGGCGGCGCGCUUAACACAUGCAAGUCGAGCGAGAACCAGACCUUCGGGUCUGGGGACAGCGGCGAACGGGUGAGUAACACGUGGGUAAUCAACCCUCGGUACUGGGAUAGCCCGGGGAAACCCGGAUUAAUACCGGAUGGCCCUUCGGAUCUUCGGUUCUGAAGGAAAAGGUAGCUUCGGCCUCCGACCGAGGACGAGCCCGCGGCGGAUUAGCUUGUUGGUGGGGUAACGGCCUACCAAGGCGGCGAUCCGUAGCUGGUCUGAGAGGACGAUAAGCCACACUGGGACUGAGACACGGCCCAGACUCCUACGGUAGGCAGCAGUGGGGAAUCUUGCGCUAAUGCGGGAAACCGUGACGCAGCGACGCCGCGUGAGGGAAGAAGGCCUUCGGGUUGUAAACCUCUUUCAGGAGGGACGAAGCUACUCGGGUUAAUAGCCCAGAGGGUGACGGUACCUCCAGAAGAAGCCCCGGCUAACUACGUGCCAGCCGCCGCAGUAAGAC